rnacentral:tRNA from 1 species
GCGCCGGUAGCACGGUUGGUCAGUGCGGCACGCUUAUAACGUGACGGUCGCGGGUUCGAGCCCCGCUCGGCGCAC